rnacentral:rRNA from 1 species
UACAGAGGUCUCAAGCGUUGUUCGUAUUCAUUGGGCGUAAAGGGUGCGUAGGUGGCGCCGUAAGUCGGGUGUGAAAUUUCGGAGCUUAACUCCGAAACUGCAUUCGAUACUGCGGUGCUUGAGGACUGGAGAGGAGACUGGAAUUCAUGGUGUAGCAGUGAAAUGCGUAGAGAUCAUGAGGAAGACCAGUGGCGAAGGCGGGUCUCUGGACAGUUCCUGACACUGAGGCACGAAGGCCAGGGGAGCAAACGGG